rnacentral:rRNA from 4 species
CUCAGGACGAACGCUGGCGGCGUGCCUAAUACAUGCAAGUCGAGCGGACCGACGGGAGCUUGCUCCCUUAGGUCAGCGGCGGACGGGUGAGUAACACGUGGGUAACCUGCCUGUAAGACUGGGAUAACUCCGGGAAACCGGGGCUAAUACCGGAUGCUUGAUUGAACCGCAUGGUUCAAUCAUAAAAGGUGGCUUUUAGCUACCACUUGCAGAUGGACCCGCGGCGCAUUAGCUAGUUGGUGAGGUAACGGCUCACCAAGGCGACGAUGCGUAGCCGACCUGAGAGGGUGAUCGGCCACACUGGGACUGAGACACGGCCCAGACUCCUACGGGAGGCAGCAGUAGGGAAUCUUCCGCAAUGGACGAAAGUCUGACGGAGCAACGCCGCGUGAGUGAUGAAGGUUUUCGGAUCGUAAAACUCUGUUGUUAGGGAAGAACAAGUACCGUUCGAAUAGGGCGGUACCUUGACGGUACCUAACCAGAAAGCCACGGCUAACUACGUGCCAGCAGCCGCGGUAAUACGUAGGUGGCAAGCGUUGUCCGGAAUUAUUGGGCGUAAAGCGCGCGCAGGCGGUUUCUUAAGUCUGAUGUGAAAGCCCCCGGCUCAACCGGGGAGGGUCAUUGGAAACUGGGGAACUUGAGUGCAGAAGAGGAGAGUGGAAUUCCACGUGUAGCGGUGAAAUGCGUAGAGAUGUGGAGGAACACCAGUGGCGAAGGCGACUCUCUGGUCUGUAACUGACGCUGAGGCGCGAAAGCGUGGGGAGCGAACAGGAUUAGAUACCCUGGUAGUCCACGCCGUAAACGAUGAGUGCUAAGUGUUAGAGGGUUUCCGCCCUUUAGUGCUGCAGCAAACGCAUUAAGCACUCCGCCUGGGGAGUACGGUCGCAAGACUGAAACUCAAAGGAAUUGACGGGGGCCCGCACAAGCGGUGGAGCAUGUGGUUUAAUUCGAAGCAACGCGAAGAACCUUACCAGGUCUUGACAUCCUCUGACAACCCUAGAGAUAGGGCUUCCCCUUCGGGGGCAGAGUGACAGGUGGUGCAUGGUUGUCGUCAGCUCGUGUCGUGAGAUGUUGGGUUAAGUCCCGCAACGAGCGCAACCCUUGAUCUUAGUUGCCAGCAUUCAGUUGGGCACUCUAAGGUGACUGCCGGUGACAAACCGGAGGAAGGUGGGGAUGACGUCAAAUCAUCAUGCCCCUUAUGACCUGGGCUACACACGUGCUACAAUGGGCAGAACAAAGGGCAGCGAAGCCGCGAGGCUAAGCCAAUCCCACAAAUCUGUUCUCAGUUCGGAUCGCAGUCUGCAACUCGACUGCGUGAAGCUGGAAUCGCUAGUAAUCGCGGAUCAGCAUGCC